AACGAACGCUGGCGGCAUGCCUAACACAUGCAAGUCGAACGAAGUCUUCGGACUUAGUGGCGCACGGGUGCGUAACGCGUGGGAAUCUGCCCUUGGGUACGGAAUAACUCAGAGAAAUUUGUGCUAAUACCGUAUAAUGUCUUCGGACCAAAGAUUUAUCGCCCAAGGAUGAGCCCGCGUAAGAUUAGCUAGUUGGUGGGGUAAAAGCCUACCAAGGCGACGAUCUUUAGCUGGUCUGAGAGGAUGGUCAGCCACACUGGGACUGAGACACGGCCCAGAAUCCUACAGGAUGCAGGAGUGGGGAAUACUGGAAAAUGGGGGGAAGGCUGAACCCGCAAGGGCGCGUGAGCGAUUAAGGCCCUAGGGUUGUAAAGCUCUUUUAUCAGGGAUGAUAAUGACAGUACCUGGAGAAUAAGCACCGGCUAACUCCGUG
rnacentral:rRNA from 1 species